CGUGCAGGCAAAAAGAUUUCCCGGAAUAACACGAGUUGGUCACGAAUGGACCGCACCAUCCCCGGAAAUCGGCUUCAGUCGGCCCUUAUCAACACGACAGUUCUGGCGAGACUGGGCUGAACUGAACGUCAGGAUGUCUGGUAGAGGACAACAUGGAAAUAUACCUGAACGAGGAAACCCGAUACCACCCCCUCUUCCUUGCCCUAAACCACGCUCAGAUAAACCACGCCCAAAACCUCCAGUUCAAAAACCUGCUUAAAUUUCCAUCCAUUCAGCUGAGACAGCGGCUUUCCGAAGACUUUCAUCCCCUUAGCAAUGUAAAUGUCAAAACAUGGCACCGCUGUGUAGACAUAUUCGACCUCGUUGUGCGUGCAUAAGCAUAAGAGUUGAUAGCAUAAAGUUGCCGUCGGACAAAUUGAAAUUCAAGACAAAACUCUGCAUGGCACAUCCUACUCUGCUUAAAGCAAUAAAUGAUCAAAAUUGAA